UCCCGACCGAGUACAACUUCUUUUUGUCUUGGCUGGACCGCAAACAGGACGAAAAAGUCUGUGCCCCACUGAGUGAGCGAGCGAGCGACAGCAUGAACUCCAGAAAAUGUUGCCGUUUUACCUGAGAACACCUGGUGCCGCAUGUUCCUAUCCUCUCCAGUCCUGUGCUUUCUGCUGCAGCUCCACUCGGACCCAGGCGACAGUGAGACAGCAGCAGGACGGCCCACAGGAUCAUCUUCACUGGCCGGCACUUCUUUGAUCCUCUUUCUUCUGGGAGGAACGAGGGGCAGAACCUGCGGCGCGGGCGUCGGAUUGGUGCCUGUGAUGCUUAUCCAGAGUCAAGUGGACCGAGCGGAGUCAAGGACAGAGUGAAGUACAGCAGCUGGGAAAGAGUGGAUUUAAAUAUGGAGGCGGGGCUUUCUGAAUGUAGCUGUCAUUCGUUUGUGUAAUGGGACUGUAAUACAAGUCAUCUUGUAUCUUUCUUCUUUUUUUUUUAUCCACCUGACUGUCUUAGUAAUGAACUAUGAUUACGUGGAGAUGACACAGAACAAGCAGUAAAUCUUGUGUCAGAGUUUACAAGAAGAAGGAGCAAUAGGUUUCACAACAUCCUGCUCCAAGUUAUAUUUUACAAAAUCCCAUGUCAUGAUUUAUUUAAUAAAUCAUUAAAAACCUUCCCUGAAAGGAAACCUCCUCCAGUAAUUUACUGUAAAAUACCCCAACCGCUGCAAUCCAAUGCACGCAAUUCAGUCAAAUCAAAGGAGGGACACGACUUCGAGGCUGUAACUCGACACAACCUAUUUUGUGUUCACUGUCCCAACGUCUUUUUCUGAAGGUUGAAUGCUGCAGGGCAAGGUAGGAGUGUUAUUAUAGUCUUUUUAUUUAUUUAUUAUAAUUUAGGGGCAGAAACAUGAUUACUGAUGAGCAUGGUGGUGUGGCACUGUCGCCCAACAGCAAGAAGGUUCUGGGUUCCAAUUCAGGUUCAGACUAUCCAGGGGCCUUUGCAAGUCCCCCCCCCUCCCCGAGUUGUGCGUCUCUGUAUGUCGGCUGUGCGAUAUGCUGGCGACCUGUCCACGGUGUCACCCCGCCUCUCAUGUCAGCUGGGAUCGUCUCCAGCCCCCCAGCGACCCCUAAAGGACAGUACGGUGCAGAUAAUGGAUGGAUGGAUAAUUGUUGAGUAAUUUUGCAAUUCAGUCGGGUAAGAAUAGCAAAAUAGCCCACUUUUGUUAAUUCAAUGGGCAUCGCGUCUCUUGACAUCUGGUUGAUCUGCCAACAAGAGAAGUACUUUCAACCAAGGCGGCAGUGCAAGUUAAUCAUAAUAGCUGACAUUUAACUCCCUUUUGUGUUUGCAUGAAAGGCGACUUCCUCUUGGCUCCGUGCUCCUAUCGAAUGUCCAAACACAAGCAAAAACACAUUUGUAUGGCGACUAUCCAGUAGCGUUUGUGCAGUUGCGUUAUCUUUAUCUAUUGUAUCUAAUAACGAUUAAUAUUUCUGCACUGCAGUCGCGUUUUUUUGGGAGCAGUGGAAACAAGCUGUAAAAACCACCCUGACAUAGCAUCACCUUUUAAGUUCAUAUUGAAAAGGUUCUCUAUUUCACGACACAUUUAGUCGUUUUAUCCAGUUAUUUUCAAAAAUAUGGAUUUUAACAGCUUCGAAUAAAUGAGCCAGUGUCUUUAAAAUAUAGAAACGCGAGAAAUGUCGCUAAUCAAUUUCACUAAAUUUUUAAUGCUGUGUCAAUUUUUGUAAUGAUUCAUUUUUGAUAUCUUCUUUCAUAUCUCUUGGUGGUACAGCUUUUUCCCUAAUACUGUGCAACAUGCAGCACUGAGGCACGUCGCGCAUGAAAGCUGCUCAUACUGUAAAAUACAACACCUGCCUUUACUCGAAAAAAGUAUGGAAAUUCGUAAUAAACUUUAACUUGACAGCGAGUUAAGCUGAGCUGAAAACUCAAAUUAACUCAAGUUAUUUUACUGAGGCAGCAAGUUCCCAUACAAUUUUUUUUCAAAGCCCCAGUGUGUAAAUUUUGUACUUUUCUGGCGGCAUCUGGUGGUAAAGUUGCCAACUGCAACCCACUGAGCAACCAACAGGGGACACUUUAUGGUGGCGCACCACUGAUUCCUUUUCCGUUUUCCGGCAGCGCUGAAUAUUCAACACGAAGGCGAAGUGUUCUGGACCGUUUUGUGCGAAAAACGGUUUCGACACGACGUAGCAAACACGCAGACUCAUACGGAGGUCGGGUCCAUAUAACUAUAUUUAACUCAUUCAAAGGUGAUGAAAAAACAUUGGUUCUGUGUUGCAGGUGAUUAUACAUAUAUGAACACGUAGUUAUGGACAAUAUAUUCAAUUUCCCCGAAUAAGUUAUUCUUCUUCCAGACUUUCAUUGCAACAACUCUGGGAACAGAGUGUUCUGCUGAGUUCCCGCAAUAAAAGAACUGGAAUGUCUCGAGGCAACAUUUGAUCUUUGUACCAGUUUCAGGGAAGAGUUAACGCAAAUACGGCCCCAAGGCACCUCCACGAUAAUGACAGGAUAUGAGUCUCGAUGGAGUUAAUAACUGGAUGUCAACAUUUGGAGCAACGCAGGCAAAGAGGGCCGCUCUACAAGUCAACAACAAGGCCGCGGUGACCCAGCAGACCACCGCAUGAGCAGUGUACAGUGGUUUCAGUUGCGUUUUCCUGUCAGGAACUACACAUCUUUUAAAUGCAGUGUUCAGCAACAUCAUCUGCGUGACCGUAAAGCGGUCACAAGUAAACUGAAUGGCGUCCGCGCUCGGUUAAAACCAUGCCCUUAAAAACAGGUUUUCCGAUAUGUAAAAGCUGUUCCAUCCUGAGAAUAAACCGUCUGAAAUAAAAAGCAACAACAACAACCACCACCACAACCACUGCACUGACUUGUCACACAUGGGUCUAAUAAUCUGAACAAGAUUAUCCAGCUACAUUGCCAAUGUUGUUUCAAACCCAGCGAGGACACAAAGGACACAAAGGACCCAAACGCCCACAUGUACUCGCCGGCUAAAAAUAAUUCAAUUUACACGCACACACAAGCUUCCGAGCAGCUGUGAAUAAAGAAGCAGGCAAUAGAUAGUUUGCAUAUAUGGCACCUAGCCAGUGACGGGAACAGUGGCGUGACCUCGAGCGAACCUCAACGAUGGAGCUAUUGACAUAGGAUGGUAACGCAUUUUCUUUGUUCCGUCUGUUGCCAUUUCACAGAUGUGGGUUUGAAGUAUUUCCUAAGUAACACUGUAAAAAGAAAACUAAAAAAAAAACCUUAUCUGUAGGUUAAACUUGUCUUCACUACUUUUGUGUAAUGGCUCUAUCUACUGGGAUUGUGUGUGUAUUACAAUACCUGCAGGGUUUUUGUUGCUUCCCACAGUCAUGACGCUUGGUGGCAGGUGUUUCUGUGACAAUAAUGAAGUAAUAAAUGUCAGUACAAGCCAUU